rnacentral:misc_RNA from 1 species
GAAAUGCGAUAAGUAAUGUGAAUUGCAGAAUUCAGUGAAUCAUCGAAUCUUUGAACGCACCUUGCGCUCCUUGGUAUUCCUUGGAGCAUGCCUGUUUGAGUAUCAUGAAAUCUUCAAAGUAAAUCUUUUGUUAACUCAAUUGGUUUCUACUUUGGUAUUGGAGGUCUUUGCAGCUUCACACCUGCUCCUCUUUGUUCAUUAGCUGGAUCUCAGUGUUAUGCUUGGUUCCACUCGGCGUGAUAAGUUAUCUAUCGCUGAGGACACUUAAAAGGUGGCCAAGGUAAAUGCAGAUGAACCGCUUCUAAUAGUCCAUUGACUUGGACAAUACUUUUAUGAUCUGAUCUCAAAUCAGGUAGGACUACCCGCUGAACUUAAGC